GCGGGUGUAGUUUAAUGGUAGAACGGCUGGUUGCCAAUCAGUCAGCGGGAGUUCGAUUCUCCCCACCCGCACAA
rnacentral:tRNA from 1 species